CCUAGAGUUGUAGGCUUUGCCUGCUAUCUCUUACCCAUGUCUUUUGAGUACCUUCGUUUCCUCGGCGGGUCCGCCCGCCGAUUGGACAAUUUAAACCAUUUGCAGUUGCAAUCAGUGUCUGAAAAAACUUAAUAGUUA
rnacentral:misc_RNA from 1 species